rnacentral:lncRNA from 1 species
GCUGUAAGACUGACCAAUGACGUUUUAUAAUGCGUGACGGCAGAAAUGAGUCAGUGGGUAAAGAUUAUGUGAUACAGUUUAUACCCUGGUUAAUAUAUUUGAAUGACUAUUAAUGUGUAGGACAAUUUGCGUGUGAGAGCAACAGAGUAACAUGGAGCAAUACAACUCAAGACAAGGAAGAAGGUAAAAAAGGUAAAGGCUAUGAGGGGUCAGAUGCACACAGUGGUCAGCCGGCAGCAGUAACAGAAGCAUUACUGUGUGUCUCCAUCCAUCCAUCCAUCAAUCAGUCGCUCAGGGCAUGAGGUCACAGGUCACCAGGUCACGGUGGGCAGUUAUGCUUCAUUACAUUACCUGUCUGCUGCCCUGGAACACAGGAAACCGCUUCUAUGGGAUCACACUGCCACUUCCUGCCUGCACCUACAUCACCUCCAGAACACCAGAGGGUGCUGUUCAGAAUGUGAAUCAACCACCUUGAUUUCAUUAUGUGCUGUGGUGCUCAGAGAGGGGCUGAAAUUGUCUGGACUGAUGCAGAAUGCUGUUUGUAGCUGCAGUCCUGAAAAGCACUUAAAGUGUGCUUUGAAAGAGGGCUGCUCUCUCCCGAGGCCACGUCUCUCUGUUGCAUGUAGUGUGGGCGCCUCUAUCUCCAGCAGGCUGAUUCAAACUCUCACACCAUCUCAGCAGAGUUUGGAUACACUCUGA